AGAUGAAUUAAGAGGCAACUCUUAACUGGCCAUCUAGGGAAAAAUCGAGAGAUUCAAGCCUAGAGGGCAGAAAGCUCCGCGAAGUAGCGCUUAAAUCACGGAGCGGGAAGGCAUGGCGGUAGCGCAUACAACGACGUGCCAA
rnacentral:sRNA from 10 species